AGCAAACAACCAAACUUUAUCCAGAAAAGCAUAUUUGUAAUCACCACUAAACAAUGAGGCACAUCGGUCCCCUCUCCCCAACCACCCUCACUCUUCCCAAACCCACUCUCUCUUUUGGCUUUUAUAGAACACUGUAGAAAUCCUUUCCUGAGUCUGCAAAUGGCCCCAGACUGGGAUGGGAGCUGCCCAGAGUAGUCUUGGGCUGGACUGAGUCCUGGUGCCCAGAGAGGGAGACCUAUGCAACUGCCUCCAGUAUCCAAAAGUUCUGGGGGCAGGUCGGGUGGCCACCCCUAUGGCACAGGGCCUUGAGGGAGGGUGAGUGUGGUGGCGGUCUUACGUGUUCUUCUCAUACCUGGCAGACAGAGUGAGCACAAGCCGCUGGAAGCCAAGCGGGAAGGCACAUCUAGAAGGGCAGUGAGCUCUGGAAUGCUACAGGCACGUGUGGAUGGAUGAGGCUCCAUGGCGGCCAAGGAGAUAUCUGCUCCUGAGUAAGGUCACCUGACCACAGACAGCACCAGGGGCUGGGGGGCUAAGAAGGAGAUCUUGAGAAGGAUGGACCUGAGCUAAAGAUGUAACUUAGAUGGUGAUCUGAAAAAAGGAAAAAAGAAUAAACGCUGGAACUCAAAUCCACUGUUUAGGGUACAGGAGUACACAGCUAAGUUCCAGGUAUCCAGAAUCUUGUGUCC
rnacentral:lncRNA from 1 species